rnacentral:rRNA from 1 species
GCCCCGGUAAACGGCGGCCGUAACUAUAACGGUCCUAAGGUAGCGAAAUUCCUUGUCGGGUAAGUUCCGACCUGCACGAAUGGCGUAAUGAUGGCCAGGCUGUCUCCACCCGAGACUCAGUGAAAUUGAACUCGCUGUGAAGAUGCAGUGUACCCGCGGCAAGACGGAAAGACCCCGUGAACCUUUACUAUAGCUUGACACUGAACAUUGAGCCUUGAUGUGUAGGAUAGGUGGGAGGCUUUGAAGUGUGGACGCCAGUCUGCAUGGAGCCGACCUUGAAAUACCACCCUUUAAUGUUUGAUGUUCUAACGUUGGCCCGUAAUCCGGGUUGCGGACAGUGUCUGGUGGGUAGUUUGACUGGGGCGGUCUCCUCCUAAAGAGUAACGGAGGAGCACGAAGGUUGGCUAAUCCUGGUCGGACAUCAGGAGGUUAGUGCAAUGGCAUAAGCCAGCUUGACUGCGAGCGUGACGGCGCGAGCAGGUGCGAAAGCAGGUCAUAGUGAUCCGGUGGUUCUGAAUGGAAGGGCCAUCGCUCAACGGAUAAAAGGUACUCCGGGGAUAACAGGCUGAUACCGCCCAAGAGUUCAUAUCGACGGCGGUGUUUGGCACCUCGAUGUCGGCUCAUCACAUCCUGGGGCUGAAGUAGGUCCCAAGGGUAUGGCUGUUCGCCAUUUAAAGUGGUACGCGAGCUGGGUUUAGAACGUCGUGAGACAGUUCGGUCCCUAUCUGCCGUGGGCGCUGGAGAACUGAGGGGGGCUGCUCCUAGUACGAGAGGACCGGAGUGGACGCAUCACUGGUGUUCGGGUUGUCAUGCCAAUGGCACUGCCCGGUAGCUAAAUGCGGAAGAGAUAAGUGCUGAAAGCAUCUAAGCACGAAACUUGCCCCGAGAUGAGUUCUCCCUGACUCCUUGAGAGUCCUGAAGGAACGUUGAAGACGACGACGUUGAUAGGCCGGGUGUGUAAGCGCAGCGAUGCGUUGAGCUAACAGGUACUAAUGAACCGUGAGGCUUAACCUU